AUUGAACGCUGGCGGCAGGCUUAACACAUGCAAGUCGAGCGGAGCGAGGGUGCUUGCACCUUAGCUUAGCGGCGGACGGGUGAGUAAUGCUUAGGAAUCUGCCUAUUAGUGGGGGACAACAUUCCGAAAGGAAUGCUAAUACCGCAUACGCCCUACGGGGGAAAGCAGGGGAUCUUCGGACCUUGCGCUAAUAGAUGAGCCUAAGUCGGAUUAGCUAGUUGGUGGGGUAAAGGCCUACCAAGGCGACGAUCUGUAGCGGGUCUGAGAGGAUGAUCCGCCACACUGGGACUGAGACACGGCCCAGACUCCUACGGGAGGCAGCAGUGGGGAAUAUUGGACAAUGGGCGGAAGCCUGAUCCAGCCAUGCCGCGUGUGUGAAGAAGGCCUUUUGGUUGUAAAGCACUUUAAGCGAGGAGGAGGCUACUUAGAUUAAUACUCUGGGAUAGUGGACGUUACUCGCAGAAUAAGCACCGGCUAACUCUGUGCCAGCAGCAGCCGCGGUAACAC
rnacentral:rRNA from 1 species